rnacentral:lncRNA from 1 species
GGUGCCUGCAGUCAGGGCGCCGCCGCCCAAGCUGACUCCUCUCUCUCCCUCUCCAACCCGGCAGGGCCCAGAGGUGAUUCUGCCUGCACGAUGUCCUCCUUCCUGGAAGCGAGCUCUUCGCAGGCGCCACGUCGCGAACAAAAAGAGAAAGACAAAAAGAAAAGAAAAAGCAGAAGAAGCAGCCAGGGAAGCGGGCCUUAAAGGCGUUGGGGGUCAGCUCGGCCUAGGGCAGGCGCGCUAUGAUAGCGGCGGGGUUUCAAACAGAGACUGCAGCCUUCAGUGUCCAGGGACGAAGCCCAGGCCAGCCCUGCCAGGGGACCUGGAGGCGUGGUGCUCGCGCGGACCCCUAGCCCGACCUCCGGUCUGGCCCCAGGGACAGCAAGCAGCAAGCAGGGCGGGCUGCACCGCCAGAGCAGCAGAAUCAAGAUCUCACUGUGGGAGCAGACAAAGCCCCGAGGAAGUGAAGCCCUGAGUGGAUGUGUGCUGUAAAUGACCAUGCCAAGGACACAAAGCCAUUUUUCCAUGGGGAAA